rnacentral:rRNA from 1 species
UGGGGAAUUUUGGACAAUGGGCGCAAGCCUGAUCCAGCCAUGCCGCGUGCGGGAAGAAGGCCUUCGGGUUGUAAACCGCUUUUGUCAGGGAAGAAAUCUUCUGAGUUAAUACCUCGGGAGGAUGACGGUACCUGAAGAAUAAGCACCGGCUAACUACGUGCCAGCAGCCGCGGUAAUACGUAGGGUGCAAGCGUUAAUCGGAAUUACUGGGCGUAAAGCGUGCGCAGGCGGUUUUGUAAGACAGAGGUGAAAUCCCCGGGCUCAACCUGGGAACUGCCUUUGUGACUGCAAGGCUUGAGUGCGGCAGAGGGGAUGGAAUUCCGCGUGUAGCAGUGAAAUGCGUAGAUAUGCGGAGGAACACCGAUGGCGAAGGCAAUCCCCUGGGCCUGCACUGACGCUCAUGCACGAAAGCGUGGGGAGCAAACAGGAUUAGAUACCCUGGUAGUCCACGCCCUAAACGAUGUCAACUGGUUGUUGGGAAGGUUCCUUCUCAGUAACGUAGCUAACGCGUGAAGUUGACCGCCUGGGGAGUACGGCCGCAAGGUUGAAACUCAAAUGAAUUGAC